CUCCGGGACUGCGCGGGAGGAGAGGAACGUGCACGUGCCGCCAUCUUGGCCCCUCAGCCGUCCCGCCACAGCGCACCCAGCCAGGGAAUACAAUCAGCUUUGGGUUAAUAUUUAAAGAGGAGUGGGGAAAUAAUACAUAUGCAGCUUCUCCACACAGCACUUAAAAUGAAAAGAGCCUCCGCAAGUAUUAUUACCUCACUUUGCACCGCUGGGGAACUGCGCCUCCACAGGGUGACACAGGGACGCUCUGUAGGUACAAAAGGCAUGGCGGGAAGUAAAUCCGUGGGAUGCAGUGGAGGGGGCUGAGGCACAUCUCUGUGCAGGUGCUGCAAGAAAUCAAACGGCCUUCCAAGGAAUAGACACACCGUUCACCCUGCCUUUCAAUUUAAACUAAUUUAACCUGCUAUGUUUUCUCAGUUCCACAGAUCUUGUUUUUGUUGCAAUUACUGUCAUGGAGGUAAUAUCACACAGAUGUGCCCAAGGAACCCAAAUCUGUGGGACGACUUGAAGAAUUUCUGGCAGUAUUUUCUUCAUUCAGUCUGAGUUCAGAGGCAGAAGAAAAGCGACUCACUUGAAUUGUGUUGAAGGCAGACGUAGGAAAAGCGGAAGAAAGACUCAGAUGAAAUGGACAGAUGGACUUUAACCACAAAGAUGUCUUCCAGAAUCUAUUAAGAUGCUUUCUUCACUUAUGUCACAAAGAGAUAUUCAUAUACCUUAACAACAUGGUGUCCACAGAUGUGGGAACACACAGUGCCAAAGACACUCCAGUUAACACAAGCUGAGAAUCAGCUUUUGUUCUUUCUCUGAUGUUGGUUGUACUAUAUACUUUAUAUUCUUGAAUGUAAUAAAUCAUUACUAAUCUUUGCCAGCUGAA